AAACAAGUUGCCUUACAGGAAAUAUUUAAUUUUGUGCAAUCUGAAGAAGAGAGUCUCCCACAAGCUUGGGGAGGCUUCUCCAAUUACUUAAUGCUUUGCCUAAUCAUCCUCUCAAGAAAAAUGAAAUACUUGAUAUCUUUUUAUAAUGGACUAACCGAUGCUUCUACGGACCACCUAGAUAGUUGUGCUGGUUGUGUUUUCAGGGAACGAACUGUUGAGCAAGCUGAAUUGCUAUUGAAUAAUAUACUGAGUAAUGAUAAUGAUUGGACACUUCCUGAACCAACUCCUAAGCCAAGUCCGAAGAAAAGAGGUCUUCUAUUUCCCAGUCCUGAAGAUAUCCAAGAGGCAAAGAAAUCUAUGAAAGAAAAUGGUAUUAAAACCGAAGAUGUUAAGAAUUUACCACCUAUUGAAGAAAUGCAU
rnacentral:rRNA from 1 species